AACAAUAACUCUGCCUUUCCCGCCGCUGCGUGCCCUUGAUCCCGUUGCUUUCCCCCAGAAGAGGCUCCAGCCGAGCUCCAAAACGACCCCCAGCCGAGCCGGGCCCAGACAUCCACCCAAGGAACGCCAGGCCUCCCGCUGCUCCUGCUGGGGCUUCACCGUCUGCUGGGACGCGACGGGGCGAGAACAUGGUGCCUCUGGGCUCUCCUGGCGGCUUGUCUAGUGCUCCCCAGCGCCGUCAGGAGUACGAGUGGCCUUCAGGACACCUCUCAGACUAAUAAUGAAACAGAAGGAUCGGUAACAGUCGCCGCGAGGCAUGGGAGCAGAGUCCCGGAACUGGAAGGGCCCUACACUGCGUGUGGAGGAAAUUAUCAACGGCAUCCCGAGUAACGAAAGCAGCACCCAGCCGGUGGCCACACAAGCUGCACACAAGAAGCUCUCAGCCCGCCCCUAGAUGCCACCCCGGAUGCCGGCCUGGUGCACUUCCUUGUACGCCUCCUGGAGAGGGUAGACAAACUGCCGAGAUCAACGAGGUGGACCGCCUGGGCCAGAUGACUGAGGAGUGCGGCGGACUGGACAAGACUGAGGACUGCAGCACCACGACAAUGAGGCCGUGUACGAGAAGGCCCUGGAUGGAUAUCAUCGAGAAGUGUUCCGGCGAGGAGGAGGGCCCCGAGGCGAGCAGCACCACCAGUGGCCAGGCGUACGACUUCUCUGCCGUGAACAACGUGCCUGAGGGUGGAUUCUCUUUCUAGGACUUCAGUGUGUGUGCCUGGCAAGGGAGGAGCAGCAGCAUGCAGGGUGUGUGUGGUCCACGGCGGAAUAAUGUGAUACUGCCUACGCCUUCGCCGAUGAUUCCACUCUGCAUUAUUCAACUUCUUUUAAUAGAAGACCCACCCUUCAGGAACUUAACGACUCAAGGCUGGAGGCUGCAGAACGCUUAGCCUCAGACUUUACUAUUAUUUCCGAUUGGGGCAAGAAGAACCUGGUGUCCUUCAACGCCUCAAAAACACAGUUUCUCCUCCUAUCCACUCGACACAAUCUUCCAAACAAUUAUCCCCUAUUCUUUGACAACACCCAGCUAUCACCUUCCUCAACACUAAACAUCCUCGGUCUAUCCUUAACUCAAAAUCUUAACUGGAAACUUCAUAUCUCAUCUCUUACUAAAUCAGCUUCCUCGAGGCUGGGCGUUCUUUACCGUCUCCGCCAGUUCUUCUCCCCUGCACAGUUGCUGUCCAUAUACAGGGGCCUUGUCCGCCCUCGUAUGGAGUAUGCAUCUCAUGUGUGGGGGGGCUCCACUCACACAGCUCUUCUGGACAGAGGAGGCUAAGGCUCUUCGUCUCAUCAGCUCUCCUCCUCAUACUGAUAGUCUUCUACCUCUUAAAUUCCGCCGCAAUGUUGCCUCUCUUUCUAUCUUCUAUCGAUAUUUCCACGCUGACUGCUCUUCUGAACUUGCUAACUGCAUGCCUCCCCCCCUCCCGCGGCCCCGCUGCACUCGACUUUCUACUCAUGCUCAUCCCUAUACUGUCCAAACCCCUUAUGCAAGAGUUAACCAGCAUCUUCACUCUUUCAUCCCUCACGCUGGUAAACUCUGGAACAAUCUUCCUUCAUCUGUAUUUCCUCCUGCCUACGACUUGAACUCUUUCAAGAGGAGGGUAUCAGGACACCUCUCCUCCCGAAAUUAACCUCUGAUUUUGGACACUCCUUUAACCUCUGUUCGGGAGCAGUGAGUAGCGGGCCUUUUUUUUUUUUUUUUUUUUUCUUUGCGCCCUUGAGCUGUC